GUCUACGGCCAUACCACCCUGAACGCGCCCGAUCUCGUCUGAUCUCGGAAGCUAAGCAGGGUCGGGCCUGGUUAGUACUUGGAUGGGAGAUUUUCCAGAGGACCUCUGUGUUUCUUUAACCU
rnacentral:rRNA from 1 species